CCGCUGCCCCCGGCGGCGGCGGCAAGCCCGCGGAGGGCGGCAACGCCUCGCCCGACUCGCCCAGCAACAACGAGAUGGAGGCCAGGGGAGCGUGGGUGGAGCAGUGCGUCCAGAGGGUGGCCUGCCAACUCAACUCGCGCAGGUCCAGGAAGGAGUGCGGGCGAUUCCACUGCGCCGCCAUCGACUGGCUGGGCAGCUCCUGAAGGACUCCUGAAGGACUUCGCCCCGGUCCGUUACCUCGGGCAGAGCAAGCAGCAAGCGGAUGCGGCAGCGCCGAAACGCGCGCAUAGUGUUUUUUGACAGUGUUGUGGACUGAGCCCGACGUCGCCGUCGUUUUACAACCAUCGUGUGCCAUAAGUGGAGCGAAAUGUUGCGUCAUUGUGUCUUCUUGUAUUUUAUUUAUUUAUUUAUUUUCUAAAUAAAUUAUUUCUUUAUUU